GCCCUGUGCUGGGGGAUAACCUCGCGAAAGUGAGAACAAUACCCCAUGGGUCACUAUGCCUGGAACGGUUAGUGGCUGAAAGCUCCGGCGGCACAGGAUGGGUCUGCGGCGUAUCAGGUCGUAGGGGGUGUAACGUACCUCCUAGCCUUCGACGCGUACGGGUUGUGAGAGCAAUUGCCCGGAGAUGGAUUCUGAGACACGAAUCCAGGCCCUACGGGGCGCAGCAGGCGCGAAAACUUGACAAUGCGAGAAAUCGUGAUCAGGGGACUCCAGUUGGCUGGAUCAAAAGUCCAGUCUGAACCGACUUUAAAUCGGUCGGGUAAUAGGGGCGGGAAAGACCGGUGCCAGCCGCCGCGGUAAUACCGGCGCCCCAAGUGGUCGUCACUAUUAUUGGGCCUAAAACGUCCGUAGCCGGUUUGGUAAAUCCGUGGGUAAAUCAGACAGCCCAACUGUCUGAAUUCUGCGGGGACUGCCAGACUUGAGACCGGGAGAGGUGCGGGGUACUUGCGGGGUACCGGUAAAAUGGGAUCAUCCCGUAGAGACCACCUGUUGCGAAGGCGCCGCACUAGAACGGAUCUGACGGUCAGGGACGAAGCCUAGGGGCACGAACCGGAUUAGAUACCCGGGUAGUCCUAGGUGUAAACGCUGUGGACUUGGUGUCGGGGACCUUCUGAGGGUUUCCGGUGCCGGAGUGAAGAUGUUAAGUCCACUGCCUGGGGAGUACGUC
rnacentral:rRNA from 1 species